CACCACCGCAUGCAGUUAAUUUAAGACUUGCAGAGACUAAACCUGUUAUCAUUCAAAAACAGAAAACCAAUGGGAUACAAGCAGUAUAACAAGGAAUGAAGAUCUGGCAGCAAAUUAACACAGGAGACCAUACUGGGAUGAGAAAGCAGACUGGCAAAAUAUAUCCACACAACAUUAUAAUUUGCUUUAAUUAUAACAGCACAGUUGAAACCAUAAAUCUUGAGU
rnacentral:lncRNA from 1 species